rnacentral:rRNA from 1 species
AGCAUCUAAGCGGGAAGCCUGUUCCAAGAUGAGGUUUCUCACCCCCUCAGCGGGGUUAAGGCCCCCCACAGAUCAUGGGGUUGAUAGGCCAGAACUGUAAGCACAGCAAUGUGUUCAGGUGACUGGUACUAAUCGGCCGAGGACUUACCAACAACACCAC